UACGAAGGGGGCGAGCGUUGUCCGGAUUUACUGGGCGUAAAGGGCGUGCAGGCGGUCUGUUAAGUGCAGGGUGAAAGCUCCCGGCUCAACUGGGAGAGGUCCUUGCAUACUGGCGGACUUGAGGGGGGUAGAGGAAAGUGGAAUUCCCGGUGUAGUGGUGAUAUGCGUAGAUAUCGGGAGGAACACCUGUGGCGAAGGCGGCUUUCUGGGCCCUACCUGACGCUGAGACGCGAAAGCGUGGGGAGCGAACCGG
rnacentral:rRNA from 1 species